CCGGCAGGAUGAGCAGCGCUGACGUGGGCAAGUUCAACAUUUCAGAAAGAUGAUGAUGAUUCUGAUUUGUUGAUAGUCCCACCAGCCCCGUCAACCCCACCUGCUUUAAGAAGCAGGAAAGUAAGGGAUGACAGUGAUGACGAGAAUCUAGAAGUAGAUAAAGGAUGUGAAUGUAGAAAAGAACGGGAAUGUCCCAUCACCGCAGUUUCACAUCGGACCCGACAGCGAGAUAUACAAGGCAAAGGACAAGGUACCCCUGGUAAUAGGGGUAGAGGUAGAGGAAUAAUGCGUGGGCGAGGAAGAGGAUUUGGAACACUUAAUAAUCCAGGGUCAGGAUCAGGCAGAUUAGGCAUUAAUCAAUGUGCCUAUUGUAAACAGGAGGGGCAUUGGAAAAAUGAAUGCCCUCAGAGACUGAGACAGAAUCCGCAAUCUGGAUACUCCUUCGGGGAAUCCGAGGUGGCAAAAGCCAUGGUUCUGGGAGAAUAUGGGAGUCAGAGCUGACUAGAAUCGGAAAAGGGUGAACCACUAGUGAAAAUAAGGCUGGGGGAAGAGGAGGUACAAUUUUUAGUCGAUACUGGUGCAACUUAUUCUGUGUUAAAUGACCUGUAUGGGAAAAUAGGGGAUAAGACUACCACCGUAAUAGGGGCCACAGGGAGAGAGGAGGUGCGGCCAUUCAUGCGACCCCUGGAAUUACGGUUUGGGGGAAAGGAAUUGAUACAUGAGUUUCUAUACAUGCCGGACUGUCCUGUUUCCCUGUUGGGACGAGAUUUAUUAUCAAAAUUAAACACUAAAAUUAUUUUUUAAAAUGGGGAAUUGAUUAUGCAGGUACCGGAAUCACAAUCUGGACAGAUACUAGUGUUAAAGGACAGUCCAAAGGCCUGAAUACCUAGAGAAGUAGAGGAAGCAGUGAUUCCCACAGUUUGGGAAACAGAAAUUCCGGGAAAAUCAAAGAUGGCUCAGCCGGUAGUAGUGGAAUUGAAAGAAGGAGCAAGACAGGUACGGAUAAAACAAUAUCCCAUAAAAUUGGAGGCACGAUAUGGGAUAGUGAAAACGAUUGAGAAAUUUUUAAAAUUUGGAAUUU
rnacentral:lncRNA from 1 species